UACGUAGGGGGGCAAGCGUUGUCCGGAAUCAUUGGGCGUAAAGCGCGCGUAGGUGGCCCUGUAAGUCCGUUGUGAAAGUCAAAGGCUCAACCUUUGAAAGCCGAUGGAUACUGCAGGGCUAGAGUACGGAAGAGGCGAGUGGAAUUCCUGGUGUAGCGGUGGAAUGCGCAGAUAUCAGGAGGAACACCAAUAGCGAAGGCAGCUCGCUGGGACGUUACUGACACUGAGGCGCGAAAGCGUGGGGAGCGAACAGG
rnacentral:rRNA from 1 species